rnacentral:rRNA from 1 species
ACAUGCAGAGAACUUUCCAGAGAUGGAUUGGUGCCUUCGGGAACUCUGACACAGGUGCUGCAUGGCUGUCGUCAGCUCGUGUCGUGAGAUGUUGGGUUAAGUCCCGUAACGAGCGCAACCCUUGUCCUUAGUUACCAGCACGUUAAGGUGGGCACUCUAAGGAGACUGCCGGUGACAAACCGGAGGAAGGUGGGAUGACGUCAAGUCAUCAUGGCCCUUACGGCCUGGGCUACACACGUGCUACAAUGGUCGGUACAAAGGGUUGCCAAGCCGCGAGGUGGAGCUAAUCCCAUAAAACCGAUCGUAGUCCGGAUCGCAGUCUGCAACUCGACUGCGUGAAGUCGGAAUCGCUAGUAAUCGUGAAUCAGAAUGUCACGGUGAAUACGUUCCCGGGCCUU